GAUGAACGCUGGCGGCGUGCCUAAUACAUGCAAGUCGAGCGAACGGGCGAGAAGCUUGCUUCUCUGAUGUUAGCGGCGGACGGGUGAGUAACACGUGGAUAACCUACCUAUAAGACUGGGAUAACUUCGGGAAACCGGAGCUAAUACCGGAUAAUAUUUUGAACCGCAUGGUUCAAAAGUGAAAGACGGUCUUGCUGUCACUUAUGGAUGGAUCCGCGCUGCAUUAGCUAGUUGGUAAGGUAACGGCUUACCAAGGCAACGAUGCAUAGCCGACCUGAGAGGGUGAUCGGCCACACUGGAACUGAGACACGGUCCAGACUCCUACGGGAGGCAGCAGUAGGGAAUCUUCCGCAAUGGGCGAAAGCCUGACGGAGCAACGCCGCGUGAGUGAUGAAGGUCUUCGGAUCGUAAAACUCUGUUAUUAGGGAAGAACAUAUGUGUAAGUAACUGUGCACAUCUUGACGGUACCUAAUCAGAAAGCCACGGCUAACUACGUG
rnacentral:rRNA from 1 species